rnacentral:rRNA from 3 species
GGGGUAUUGUAAGUGGCAGAGUGGCCUUGCUGCCACGAUCCACUGAGAUUCAGCCCUUUGUCGCUCCGAUUCGU